CAGAGGUCUCAAGCGUUGUUCGGAUUCAUUGGGCGUAAAGGGUGCGUAGGUGGCGAGGUAAGUCAGGUGUGAAAUCUCGGGGCUCAACCCCGAAACUGCACUUGAUACUGCCUUGCUCGAGUACUGGAGAGGAGAUUGGAAUUUACGGUGUAGCAGUGAAAUGCGUAGAUAUCGUAAGGAAGACCAGUGGCGAAGGCGAAUCUCUGGACAGUUACUGACACUGAGGCACGAAGGCCAGGGGAGCAAACGGG
rnacentral:rRNA from 1 species